CCUACGGGUGGCAGCAGUGGGGAAUAUUGGACAAUGGGCGAAAGCCUGAUCCAGCCAUGCCGCGUGUGUGAAGAAGGCCUUCGGGUUGUAAAGCACUUUCAGUGGGGAAGAAAGCCUUGGGGCUAAUACCCUCGAGGAAGGACAUCACCCACAGAAGAAGCACCGGCUAACUCCGUGCCAGCAGCCGCGGUAAUACGGAGGGUGCGAGCGUUAAUCGGAAUUACUGGGCGUAAAGCGCGCGUAGGCGGUCUGAUAAGCCGGUUGUGAAAGCCCCGGGCUCAACCUGGGAACGGCAUCCGGAACUGUCAGGCUAGAGUGCAGGAGAGGAAGGUAGAAUUCCCGGUGUAGCGGUGAAAUGCGUAGAGAUCGGGAGGAAUACCAGUGGCGAAGGCGGCCUUCUGGACUGACACUGACGCUGAGGUGCGAAAGCGUGGGUAGAAAACAGGAUUAGAUACCCGUGUAGUC
rnacentral:rRNA from 1 species